rnacentral:rRNA from 1 species
CCUACGGGAGGCAGCAGUGAGGAAUAUUGGUCAAUGGACGAGAGUCUGAACCAGCCAAGUAGCGUGAAGGAUGACUGCCCUAUGGGUUGUAAACUUCUUUUAUAUGGGAAUAAAAUGUUCCACGUGUGGGAUUUUGUAUGUACCAUAUGAAUAAGGAUCGGCUAACUCCGUGCCAGCAGCCGCGGUAAUACGGAGGAUCCGAGCGUUAUCCGGAUUUAUUGGGUUUAAAGGGAGCGUAGGUGGGUUGUUAAGUCAGUUGUGAAAGUUUGCGGCUCAACCGUAAAAUUGCAGUUGAAACUGGCAGGCUUGAGUACAGUAGAGGUGGGCGGAAUUCGUGGUGUAGCGGUGAAAUGCUUAGAUAUCACGAAGAACUCCGAUUGCGAAGGCAGCUCACUGGACUGCAACUGACACUGAGGCACGAAAGUGUGGGUAUCAAACAGGAUUAGAUACCCCUGUAGUC